UAAGAUUAUGUUUGUGCUGCUUGGGACGGUCUACUUUUUUAAAUGUAUUUACAUCGAAAAGCUAUUUGGUCCUUGAGAUUUUUUUUCGAACUAGGCUUUUUGGAUGUGGUUUUUAAACAAGUUUUUUAGAAAAAAAUUUGUUUGCUCUUUUAUUUUAAAAAACGAAGUAAAUAUGUCCUGGCGGUGGUAAUGGUAAGUUUUGAAAGUAGCACGCUCGAAUUUAUAAGAUACAGAUUCUCGUAGUAAAGAACCUGCUUUUAUUUACUUUGUUAGGAAAAUUAUAAGUUACUGAGCUUUAUAGUCUUUUAUUGUCUUUCACCUAGUAAGUUUUUUCUAAAUAAAAGUUUAUAAUUCACUUAAACAAAGUAAAAAAGUAUUGGCAAUAACUAUUUUAUACUCUGAAUUUAUGGCCGAAGCCUAUAACAAAGCAUGUUUCGCGGAUUGAAGUAGAUAACAUUUAUAAUUAACAUACUUCUGCAUUGCUUCUCCCUUGGGAAGUCCUUUUUGAGAAUUCCAUGCCUCCCACUUGGCCUUUGCUUCAAACUGAAUUAAUUAAAUGGAGUUAUGUACCAGUUAAAUACUUGUAUAGCUUUUACCUGAAAUGCGUAAGGUUUAGGUUGUGUGUUGUCACCCUGAGUUGCCUGCUUGUACAACCCAUAAUACAAAAGUUUUUCUUCCGGAGUAACUUCUUUAACUGGAGAAUCACGAACAAACUGAACAGCCUCCUUAAACUUUUCUUCAAUCGACAUUGAAUUUAAACAAAAAAACUAAGUUUUUUGCCCACACCACAGGUGGAUUGUUAUACAUGCGAGACCCGGAUGGUUUUUUUAUUCAUCGC